GACGAACGCUGGCGGCGUGCCUAAUACAUGCAAGUCGAGCGGACCGAACAGGAGCUUGCUCUUGUUCGGUUAGCGGCGGACGGGUGAGUAACACGUGGGUAACCUGCCCGUAAGACCGGGAUAACUCCGGGAAACCGGAGCUAAUACCGGAUAACACCGAAGACCGCAUGGUCUUUGGUUGAAAGGCGGCUUCGGCUGCCACUUACGGAUGGGCCCGCGGCGCAUUAGCUAGUUGGUGAGGUAACGGCUCACCAAGGCGACGAUGCGUAGCCGGCCUGAGAGGGUGACCGGCCACACUGGGACUGAGACACGGCCCAGACUCCUACGGGAGGCAGCAGUAGGGAAUCUUCCGCAAGAGACGAAAGUCUGACGGAGCGACGCCGCGUGAGCGAAGAAGGGCUUCGGAUCGUAAAGCUCGGUUGUUAGGGAAGAAGAAGCGUCGUUCGAACAGGGCGGCGCGGUGACGGUACCUAACGAGAAAGCCCCGGCUAACUACGUG
rnacentral:rRNA from 1 species